GGGCGGGAGGGGCUCCGCGGUGUCCCCCGGGCUGGGUGAGGAGCGGGGAGGGCAGCUCCACCUCCCCGCGGUGCCUCUGCAGGCGGAGGAGGGGCGGAGGAGAGAGGGCGAGACCCUCCUGACCCACACGGAGGCCCAGCCAGCACAGCGCCCUCUCCUCUCCAGGCCCAGGACCCUAACACCUUCCUCCUCUCCAUCAGCCAGCUCUGCCCUCCGGCCCAUCCUCGCAGCGCGGGCCACGCGGCCCAGGGGAUUCUGGGCUUCGUACCUGCCACCACGGGGUAGGUCUGUGCCCAUGCCCUCAUCCGCUGCGCCAAAGGGGCCAACAUCACGAGCACCUACAUUUGCAGAGAGCGAACCUUAGACUUUGCCUGUGCUGGACCCUGAUCCAUUGUCCCCAACAGCGCUGAGACCUAGAGACUUAUUGUUAAGACCCCAUUGAGAUUCCACCCAGCCUUCCCUGAUAUGAGCAGGGCCACCUCCUAAGAUGCUCCGUCAAGAAGAACUUGUUCUGUUAAAGGCAAGAUUAUACCACCCUUCACCAUGACUCCCUCCCACCAGGAGAUGAGACUGAACACACCUGCUCCCCACAUGUGGGUCACACAUGUCACCAAUGGGCCAUGGGAACCAGUGUGCAAAACUGAAUUCGAGGAAAGCUCCGUGGUUACAUAACAGCUCCUCUGAAGGCCAUCAUUUUCAACAGUUUCCAUCCAUCCGGGUUCUCUGAGGAGCCACAGCACAUUCCGGCUUCAUGCCCGGCACUUUGGGAAGUUGCAGUCAAUUCUGGAGGCCACGAGGGCAUCGUCAGCGUGUAGCGGCAAUUACUGGCAAAGCGGUGCUCUGGUUCCAUGCCUUCCGAGGGGGCCUGCUUCUAGGCAGGGUGGAGUGGCUUAGAGCCUGGCUUAAUUAAAUUGAACCAAAUGCCUAACUUUUAGAGAGUGUAAGAAAAGUUUAAAAUGCUUUCUGGAUGUGUUGAUUUGAUACCAAAUACCUUCUCAAAAUCCUACAGCUUUCAAAAAUCUAGGCGAUUCAGUGGGGAAAAACAAAAAACCCACCUAUCUAGUCAGAUACUUUGCUGAUGUUACACUGAAUGGCUUAAACAUCCCAGUAAUGACUGGAUUUCUUACUGCAAUUGAACUUGGCUUGCGGUGCAGAGGGCACAGUGCUUUAGGACUCAGGCCAGUUUGAACCCUGGUUCUGCAAUGACCAGCCAAGUAGCUUUAGUCUCUUUGACAUCUCUGAGCCUUGAUUUUCUCACCUGUAUAAUGGGGAUCGUAGAAUCUACUUCCUGAGGCUGUUGCAAAGAUUGAGUGAGGUUUUAUAAACCUACAUUAAACACUUAGCACAGAAUGCUUGGUAACAACACAUGCUCAGUAACUUGUUAUUUUAGAGUUAUGGGAAGAGUCAUAAGCUGUCCAAUUUGGUGUCUGCUGUCAUAACCGUUACAUCCUGUCGAGCUGCUUCUUGGUGCAUUGUAAAACGGAGGAAUGAGAGCUGCGUAGACUCAAGAGAUGACCAUGUCUUUGCCGCAUGCUGAGGUCAAAUGUGAAGACCUGUGCUUCUCGCUCUCCUGGCCAGAGGGCCUUCCUGUGCCCAGGUGAGAGCUCACGGAGUGUUCAUGUGGCAGCACUGAGCGUCACCAAGGCGGGAACAGCAAGGGCCUGGACACGAGGAGCCCUGGACACAGGCUGGGUUCUCCCUGUGUCAUCCCCCUGACCAAGGAGGGGAUGGACGAGCGAGUGGAUGAUUGGCUGAGGGAAGGAAUGAAUCAAUGGUGGAUACGGCUGAACCUCUGUCUCCUCAUCUGUAGAGUGAGGUGGGGAGCACUUCUGUGGUUUUCAAACUCUCUCCAGUCUUCAAACAAGGACUUAGAUAGAAGCACUGCCUCUCAAGCAGGUGACAGCGGGACCGUCUGAAUGAAAUCAGGGCUGGCAGGCCUGAGCUCCACAGCCGUUUGCCUCCCCCCGCCCUCUCUACCGUCACUGGCCCUGGGUCAUCUCCAUUACAAACAGAAAGACUGGGCUUGGGCAUCCCCGUGGUCCUUCUAGCCCAAGGCUGUCUCAUUGCACGAUCCCCCAUGUACGUGUACCAGCUCGUGCAGGGUCUUGGGGCUCUUUGUAAUGGAUCAGGGUCCCUUGGGGGGUUGGGGACAGAACCAGGAAGUAGCUCUGUGACCCAGCGGGUCUCAGCGGCAGGGUUCUCUACCAGGACCUUGGGGUGUGCGGGCUCCCCCCGGCCCACUGCUGUGGCCCUGCUUCCUCCGCGGGGAGCCAUGUGCUGACUCCAGGAUGCCCAGCCGGGCCCUCUCCCCAGGGCUGCUGACGGCCAGCUUUCCCCGCACCCCUCCUGGUUGCCACAGCCCAGGCUGAUAAAAUCGCUGACGCAGAUUGUCUGCCCAGCUGCGGUGCUGGCGCCGGCCCAGCAGUGCAGACGGCCACUGGCAGUGGUUCAGCCCAUUAUUGGCAUCGUCACCAUUGUUCUACUCAGAUCUUAAAGGUGUACGCCUCCCUCCUGGGUCAAAUGACAGCAUGAGCCGGGAGAGGUGAGCAGACACCGGCCUAGUGAGAAUCCUCAGCUGCCUGGCCUGGUGGGGUGAGGGGGGAAGACACUGCCUCUCUUGAUGGAAAAUAAUGAACCGAGAGGCCAGCAGGCCUGGAAGUUUGGGCAGAGGUUCGGAGUAUUCGUUGGGCUCUGGGGAGACCUUUGACAGCUCUGCCAGCUUUUCAUAGAAGCCAACCCACUGUAAGGCAUUUCACUUGUCCUGAGCACUGGAAAUAAAACUUUCCUGUACCUUCCA